rnacentral:sRNA from 1 species
UUCACGGGAUGGCUUGCGGGUCCGAGA